rnacentral:rRNA from 1 species
UACGUAGGUGACAAGCGUUGUCCGGAUUUACUGGGCGUAAAGAGCGCGCAGGCGGUCGUUCAAGUCGAGUGUGAAAGCCCCCGGCUCAACUGGGGAGGGUCAUUCGAUACUGAUCGACUCGAAGGCAGGAGAGGGUAGUGGAAUUCCCGGUGUAGUGGUGAAAUGCGUAGAGCUCGGGAAGAACAUCGGUGGCGAAAGCGCUCUGCUGGACUGCAACUGACACUCAGGGACGAAAGCUAGGGGAGCGAAUGGG